UGGCGUAGAACAUUGACUGUGUUCUCCAUUAAGCGGUUUUAUUUAAGCAAUGAAGCACAGGUAGAACCUAGAAGCACUAGAUUACCAUAUCCACGAUUGUGCUAUGUGCUACCUUUAAAACACAUUUUAGUAGGGUACCUUUACAAGCAUAUAUGUGUUAACAUCUUGAAAAGUAGAAACAUACAUAUUCAACAAUCUUCUCAACUUGAACCUCAAAUGUACAGAACUUGGAUACACCUUUCAUAUUCAAUACUUAUUAUUGUUUUAAUUGGGACUCAUGCUCAACCAAUACACUGCAUUUGA